rnacentral:rRNA from 1 species
UACGAAGGGGGCUAGCGUUGUUCGGAAUUACUGGGCGUAAAGCGUGCGCAGGCGGUUCGGAAAGAAAGAUGUGAAAUCCCAGGGCUUAACCUUGGAACUGCAUUUUUAACUGCCGGGCUAGAGUAUGUCAGAGGGGGGUAGAAUUCCACGUGUAGCAGUGAAAUGCGUAGAGAUGUGGAGGAAUACCGAUGGCGAAGGCAGCCCCCUGGGAUAAUACUGACGCUCAUGCACGAAAGCGUGGGGAGCAAACAGG